UACGUAGGGCGCGAGCGUUGUCCGGAAUCAUUGGGCGUAAAGAGCUCGUAGGCGGCCUGUCGCGUCUGCUGUGAAAUCCCGGGGCUUAACCCCGGGCGUGCAGUGGAUACGGGCUGGCUGGAGGCAGGCAGGGGAGAACGGAAUUCCUGGUGUAGCGGUGAAAUGCGUAGAUAUCUGGAGGAACACCGGUGGCGAAGGCGGCAUCCUGGACCGGUAUUGACGCUGAGGCGCGAAAGCCAGGGGAGCAAAGCGGG
rnacentral:rRNA from 1 species